CAGAGUGUCUGAGAUCUCUGAUCUCUACCUCCCACCCUUGUGUAAAGAGUCUUUGUUACUCUUGCUUUGGCUUCUGUCAGAGCAAACUUUACAACUCUUGAUCUCUGGUUGUCUGAGACUACAAGAAAAUAAAUCA
rnacentral:misc_RNA from 1 species